rnacentral:rRNA from 1 species
AUUGAACGCUGGCGGCAGGCUUAACACAUGCAAGUCGAGCGGAGAGAGGUAGCUUGCUACUGAUCUUAGCGGCGGACGGGUGAGUAAUGCUUAGGAAUCUGCCUAUUAGUGGGGGACAACAUUUCGAAAGGAAUGCUAAUACCGCAUACGUCCUACGAGAGAAAGCAGGGGAUCUUCGGACAUUGCGCUAAUAGAUGAGCCUAAGUCGGAUUAGCUAGGUGGUGGGGUAAAGGCCUAACAAGGCGACGAUCUGUAGCGGGUCUGAGAGGAUGAUCCGCCACACUGGGACUGAGACACGGCCCAGACUCCUACGGGAGGCAGCAGUGGGGAAUAUUGGACAAUGGGCGGAAGCCUGAUCCAGCCAUGCCGCGUGUGUGAAGAAGGCCUUAUGGUUGUAAAGCACUUUAAGCGAGGAGGAGGCUACUUUAGUUAAUACCUAGAGAUAGUGGACGUUACUCGCAGAAUAAGCACCGGCUAACUCUGUGCCAGCCGCCGCGGUAACAC